rnacentral:rRNA from 1 species
CCGCCUGGGGAGUACGGCCGCAAGGUUAAAACUCAAAUGAAUUGACGGGGGCCCGCACAAGCGGUGGAGCAUGUGGUUUAAUUCGAUGCAACGCGAAGAACCUUACCUGGUCUUGACAUCCACAGAAGAAUCCAGAGAUGGAUUUGUGCCUUCGGGAACUGUGAGACAGGUGCUGCAUGGCUGUCGUCAGCUCGUGUUGUGAAAUGUUGGGUUAAGUCCCGCAACGAGCGCAACCCUUAUCCUUUGUUGCCAGCGAUUAGGUCGGGAACUCAAAGGAGACUGCCAGUGAUAAACUGGAGGAAGGUGGGGAUGACGUCAAGUCAUCAUGGCCCUUACGACCAGGGCUACACACGUGCUACAAUGGCGCAUACAAAGAGAAGCGACCU